rnacentral:rRNA from 1 species
GGCCAGACUCCUACGGGAGGCAGCAGUGGGGAAUAUUGGUCAAUGGGCUAAGGCCUGAACCAGCCAAGUCGCGUGAGGGAAGACGGUCCUAUGGAUUGUAAACCUCUUUUGUCGGGGAGCAACGAGGCCACGUGUGGCCGAAGUGAGAGUACCCGAAGAAAAAGCAUCGGCUAACUCCGUGCCAGCAGCCGCGGUAAUACGGAGGAUGCGAGCGUUAUCCGGAUUUAUUGGGUUUAAAGGGUGCGUAGGCGGAACAUUAAGUCAGCGGUAAAAUCGAGGGGCUCAACCCCUUUAAGCCGUUGAAACUGGUGAUCUUGAGUGGGCGAGAAGUAUGCGGAAUGCGUGGUGUAGCGGUGAAAUGCAUAGAUAUCAGGAGGAACACCGGCGGCGAAGGCGGCCUGCUGGACCGUGACUGACGUUGAGGCUCGAGAGCGUGGGGAGCAAACAGGAUUAGAUACCCUGGUA